UUGUUCUUAUGCAGCGACUUCAUUUUUUUUUUUUUAAUUACUUUUUUACAGUAAUGUAAAAAUGCAGCGAGUAUAAGCCAUCACAAGCAUUGCAGCCUCCCUUUUUCUCUUUCUCCCCUUACCCAUCUUGAGAACGCGGUGCACUAAUACUUGCAUCCCAUCUGUUGCAUGAAGUCUGAUGUAAACUUGGCAUGUAUUGUGUUUCGGUGGCUUUUGUUUAAGUCAAAAAUGAUUAUUUCAAAGGUCUCUUUUUAGGAUACAGUCUUGCAGAGGUUUCUGCAGAGCAUCUCUGGAGAUGCUACCUUUAAGGAUGUGUGUGUCUCCUUCUGCCUAAAGUUCUAUUGCAAACUACAUUUAGAUUAACAGCACCUGAAGUACUCCAAAGAAGCCCUCAAAAUUGGCCUUUGUUGUGUCUAUGAAAGCCUGUAGAUGCAUUGUGCAAACAGAGUAUUUCCCUGAGGGCAAGGGACUGAGUUCUCUGUCAGCCUGAGGGAGAGGAUGCCCUCGCUGCUGGUCUGUGGCCAGGCUCCUGGGGCCGGCCUGGUCCCUAGGAGCAAGAAGCCCUGUCAGGUCUGGCUGGCUGCUGGUCAGCUCUGGGCGAGGGGGAAAAAAGUGAAGAAUGCGGCCACUCUCCUGGGAGACCCUGUGGUGCGGUGACUAGGAGAUGUGAUGUCUGUCUCAAGGGAUGAAUAGAAGGGGCUGGACCACUCAGUCUCAAGAACGUAAUAAAAACCAGGUUGGUGUGUUUAUCUUGCCGCCUUUAAAAAAAA